rnacentral:rRNA from 1 species
GGGUUGUGAGGUUAAGCGACUAAGCGUACACGGUGGAUGCCCUGGCAGUCAGAGGCGAUGAAGGACGUGCUAAUCUGCGAAAAGCGUCGGUAAGGUGAUAUGAACCGUUAUAGCCGGCGAUGUCCGAAUGGGGAAACCCAGUGCAAUUCGUUGCACUAUCGUUAACUGAAUACAUAGGUUAACGAGGCGAACCGGGGGAACUGAAACAUCUAAGUACCCCGAGGAAAAGAAAUCAACUGA